GCUUAGGUUUCUCGUCUUAGGAUCAUCUGGGGUCAUUCGUACUCGUCCGCGAGAGGUGAAAUUCUUGGACCGGACGAAGACGAUCAGCAGCGAAAGCAUCUGUCAGGGAUGUUUUCUGCGACAAAGGACGAAGGUCAGGGUAUCGAAGACGAUUAGAUACCGUCGUAGUCCUGACUGUAAACUAUGCCGACUUGGGUCUUGCAGAGUAAUUACUUUGUGAGACCCACACAGAAAUGAAAGUGUAUGGGUUCUGGGGGUAGUAUGGACACAAGUCUGAAACUUGAAGGAAUUGACGGAAGAGCACCAUAAGCCGUGGAGCUUGCGGCUUAAUUUGACUCAACGCGGGAAAACUUACCAGGUCAAGACAUGGGCGUGAUUGACAGGCUAAUGACCUUUCUCGAUUCCUUGGAUGGUGGUGCAUGGUCGCACUUAGUUGGUGCAGUGAUUUGUCAGGUUUAUUCCGGUAACGAACGAGACCUCGGCCUUGUAACUAGCUUUACUGCUGCUUACAGGGACAAUGUCGGCUACGUCAAGGAAGUUCGAGGCAAUUGCAGAUCUGGAAUGCCCUUAGAUGUCCUGGGUCGCACGCGUGCUACAAUGACGCCACGAGCGAGUUUACGAGAUGAAAGUCACGUAAAAUCAGC
rnacentral:rRNA from 1 species